rnacentral:rRNA from 1 species
AUUGAACGCUGGCGGCAUGCUUUACACAUGCAAGUCGAACGGUAACAGGCCGCUAGGUGCUGACGAGUGGCGCACGGGUGAGUAAUGCAUCGGAACGUGCCCAGUCGUGGGGGAUAACUACUCGAAAGAGUGGCUAAUACCGCAUACGAUCUAUGGAUGAAAGCGGGGGACCGUAAGGCCUCGCGCGAUUGGAGCGGCCGAUGUCAGAUUAGGUAGUUGGUGGGGUAAAGGCUCACCAAGCCAACGAUCUGUAGCUGGUCUGAGAGGACAACCAGCCACACUGGGACUGAGACACGGCCCAGACUCCUACGGGAGGCAGCAGUGGGGAAUUUUGGACAAUGGGCGCAAGCCUGAUCCAGCAAUGCCGCGUGCAGGAAGAAGGCCUUCGGGUUGUAAACUGCUUUUGUACGGAACGAAACGGCUCUGGUUAAUACCCGGGGCUAAUGACGGUACCGUAAGAAUAAGCACCGGCUAACUACGUG